rnacentral:rRNA from 1 species
AGAGUUUGAUCCUGGCUCAGGGUGAAUGCUAGCGGUGCGCCUAACACAUGCAAGUCGAGCGGGAUUAUAAGAUAACUUGCUAUUUUAUAUGAGAGCGGCGAACGGGUGAGUAAUAUGUUGGAAUCUGCCCCCAAGUCAGGGAUAGCCCACCGAAAGGUGGAUUAAUACCGGAUGUGCUCUUCGGAGUAAAGAUUUAUCGCUUGGGGAGGAGCCUUCAUUCUAUCAGCUAGUUGGUGAGGUAAAAGCUUACCAAGGCUAUGACGGAUAGCUGGUCUGAGAGGAUGAUCAGCCACAAUGGAACUGAGACACGGUCCAUACUCUUACGGGAGGCAGCAGUGAGGAAUCUUCCGCAAUGGGCGAAAGCCUGACGGAGCGACACCGCGUGAAGGAUGAAGGUCUAACGACUGUAAACUUCUUUUCUGGAGGAGCAUAAUGAGAGUACUCAGAAUAG